CCUACGGGUGGCUGCAGUGGGGAAUAUUGCACAAUGGGCGCAAGCCUGAUGCAGCCAUGCCGCGUGUGUGAAGAAGGCCUUCGGGUUGUAAAGCACUUUCAGCGGGGAGGAAGGCGGUGAGGUUAAUAACCUCAUCGAUUGACGUUACCCGCAGAAGAAGCACCGGCUAACUCCGUGCCAGCAUCCGCGGUAAUACGGAGGGUACAAGCGUUAAUCGGAAUUACUGGGCGUAAAGCGCACGCAGGCGGUCUGUCAAGUCGGAUGUGAAAUCCCCGGGCUCAACCUGGGAACUGCAUUCGAAACUGGCAGGCUAGAGUCUUGUAGAGGGGGGUAGAAUUCCAGGUGUAGCGGUGAAAUGCGUAGAGAUCUGGAGGAAUACCGGUGGCGAAGGCGGCCCCCUGGACAAAGACUGACGCUCAGGUGCGAAAGCGUGGGGAGCAAACAGGAUUAGAUACCCUGGUAGUC
rnacentral:rRNA from 1 species